GUGUAUGUUUUCUUUGUUUUCAGUCAUAUUCGCGUGUAUGUAAAAGAUAAUGACGCCGUCCGAAAGCCCCCCUCGCGGGGCAACCUCCAAGAACGACCAGCCAAAACCACAGGUGAGAAUAAAGGCGGUCAUGCAGUGAUGAUCCUUCCGCAGGUUCACCUACGGAAA
rnacentral:misc_RNA from 1 species